UUAAACAUUUAUGGAUUAGGUUGCACGUCGCACCGUGUGUGUAUAUAUAUGUAUAUAUGUAUAUAUAUAUUGAUCGGGUUGCACGUCGUAGCGAUAUAGGGCUUGGGUUGUAGGAGCCCCUUCGGAGUCUGCACACCCCCAACGAACGCAGUCGAGUAUAUAUUUAUGGAUCGGGCUGCACACCGCAGCAGUUAUUAUAAGGUACCUA
rnacentral:lncRNA from 1 species